rnacentral:rRNA from 1 species
GACGAACGCUGGCGGCGUGCCUAAUACAUGCAAGUAGGACGCAGUUGCGAACGGGAGAGUAACGCGUAGGUAACUACCUAUUAGAGGGGGAUAACUAUUGGAAACGAUAGCUAAUACCGCAUACUAGUAGAUUGACCUGCGUUGUAUUGGCUCGGAGGUAGGGUAAUGGCCUACCUAGGCAACGAAACAUAGCCGACCUUAGAAGGUGAUCGGCCACACUGGGACUGGGAAACGGCCCAGAAUCCUACGGGAGGCAGCAGGAGGGAAUCUUCGGCAAUGGGGGGAACCCUGACCGAGCAACGCCGCGGGAGUGAAGAAGGUUUUUGGAUCGUAAAGCUCUGUUGUUAAGGAAGCGGUACUUAACCAGAAAGGGACGGCUAACUACGUGCCAGCAGCCGCGGUAAUUC